UUUGAUUUGAAAUCAAAUUGGUUGUUUUUGUUAACAAUAUGAACUUAUCAUGGAAGAUGGUCUG
rnacentral:tRNA from 1 species